GUGGGGAAUAUUGGACAAUGGGCGAAAGCCUGAUCCAGCCAUGCCGCGUGUGUGAAGAAGGUCUUCGGAUUGUAAAGCACUUUAAGUUGGGAGGAAGGGCAGUAAGUUAAUACCUUGCUGUUUUGACGUUACCGACAGAAUAAGCACCGGCUAACUUCGUGCCAGCAGCCGCGGUAAUACGAAGGGUGCAAGCGUUAAUCGGAAUUACUGGGCGUAAAGCGCGCGUAGGUGGUUUUGUAAGUUGGAGGUGAAAUCCCCGGGCUCAACCUGGGAACUGCAUCCAAAACUGGCGAGCUAGAGUACGGUAGAGGGUGGUGGAAUUUCCUGUGUAGCGGUGAAAUGCGUAGAUAUAGGAAGGAACACCAGUGGCGAAGGCGACCACCUGGACUGAUACUGACACUGAGGUGCGAAAGCGUGGGGAGCAAACAGGAUUAGAAACCCCAGUAGUCC
rnacentral:rRNA from 1 species